UACGUAGGGUGCAAGCGUUAAUCGGAAUUACUGGGCGUAAAGGGCGCGUAGGCGGCUUGACAAGUCACUUGUGAAAUCUCCGGGCUUAACUCGGAACGGCCAAGUGAAACUGUCAAGCUAGAGUGCAGAAGGGGCAAUCGGAAUUCUUGGUGUAGCGGUGAAAUGCGUAGAUAUCAAGAGGAACACCUGAGGUGAAGACGGGGUUGCUGGGCUGACACUGACGCUGAGGCGCGAAAGCUAGGGGAGCAAACGGG
rnacentral:rRNA from 1 species